rnacentral:rRNA from 1 species
CACGUAGGGUGCGAGCGUUGUCCGGAAUUAUUGGGCGUAAAGAGCUCGUAGGCGGUUCGGCAAGUCGGAUGUGAAAUCUCCACGCUUAACGUGGAGGGGCCAUUCGAAACUGCUGUGACUCGAGUCCGGUAGGGGAGUGUGGAAUUCCCGGUGUAGCGGUGAAAUGCGCAGAUAUCGGGAGGAACACCGGUAGCGAAGGCGGCACUCUGGGCCGGAACUGACGCUGAGGAGCGAAAGCGUGGGGAGCGAACAGG